GAAAUGCGAUACGUAAUGUGAAUUGCAGAAUUCAGUGAAUCAUCGAAUCUUUGAACGCACAUUGCACCUGCCAGUAUUCUGGCAGGUAUGCCUGUUCGAGCGUCAUUUCAACCCCUCAAGCGCCGCUUGGUGUUGGGGCGCUGCGCGCCGCGCAGGCCCCCAAGGACAGCUGGCGGGCUCUCUCGUGGCACCGAGCGUAGUAGACAACCCUCGCUCUGGCAGGCCGGGAGGCUCCGGCCGUUAAACCCCCCUAUAUUUAUCAAGGUUGACCUCGGAUCAGGUAGGAAUACCCGCUGAACUUAA
rnacentral:misc_RNA from 1 species